UCUCCGUUGGUGAACCAGCGGAGGGAUCAUUACAGAGUUGCAAAACUCCCAAACCAUUGUGAAUGUUACCUAUCCCGUUGCCUCGGCGGGCGGCCCGGGCCCCGCGCCCGGCGCCCCCGGGCCCCCCGUGGGCGCCCGCCGGAGGCAAACCAAACCCUUGAAUUGCAUGGCCUCUCUGAGACUUCUGUACUGAAUAAGUCAAAACUUUCAACAACGGAUCUCUUGGUUCUGGCAUCGAUGAAGAAGCAGC
rnacentral:misc_RNA from 1 species